AGUGAACGCUGGCGGUAGGCCUAACACAUGCAAGUCGAACGGCAGCACAGUAAGAGCUUGCUCUUACGGGUGGCGAGUGGCGGACGGGUGAGGAAUACAUCGGAAUCUACUUUUUCGUGGGGGAUAACGUAGGGAAACUUACGCUAAUACCGCAUACGACCUACGGGUGAAAGCAGGGGAUCUUCGGACCUUGCGCGAUUGAAUGAGCCGAUGUCGGAUUAGCUAGUUGGCGGGGUAAAGGCCCACCAAGGCGCCGAUCCGUAGCUGGUCUGAGAGGAUGAUCAGCCACACUGGAACGGGGACACGGUCCAGACGCCUAAGGGAGGCAGCAGUGGGGAAUAUUGGACAAUGGGCGGAAGCCUGAUCCAGCCAUACCGAGUGGGUGAAGGAGGCCUUCGGGGUGUAAAGACCUUUUUUUGGGAAAGAAAAGCAGCAGGUUAAUACCCCGCUGUUCUGACGGUAACCAAAGAAUAAGCACCGGCUAACUUCGUG
rnacentral:rRNA from 1 species